CGCCCGACAGCUACUGUGUCCGUGCGUGCAGCGGUCGCCCAACUCAUAGCGGGACACCAGAUCUCAAGUUCACCAGCAUCUCCAGAAGAUCCUAUCCUGUGGCGCGCUAAUUGACGGCAUGGGGAGCUGAACUCGGCACAUCGCACCACAUUGGAACACAUCACACACGGUGGCAAUUCUGUGAAGCCCAAAGGUUCCAAGUCACCAUGAGAAAAUUGAAAUGGCAAGAUCUCUUAAUCUAAUUGUUGCACCUUGGAAGGUCUGAACCAUCAGAGUUUAACUGUAUCACCCAUUUACACAAGUUCCUACCAUCACAGUUCAACUGUAUCACUCAUCCAUAAGCAAUUACUUGUGUUGAAAUUUAUGAGAAGACAUAUGCCUCUGUUAAGUGUCAGGAUCUUUUUUGCUGGGAAGCCAAUUCCUUACUGAUCUGAGGGACAACAUUUUUGUUUGCCUGAUAAGGUGAUGAAGGUGGCUGGACAACACGAUUAUGGGUAUUUUCUUAUCGAGUGAUACAAGACAUUGUUCUGCCACUGAUUACAGUAAGCCUAUACUAGAUUGGCUUGAGAAUUCCAGUGAUGAGGUAGCAUAGAAGUGUGAUGCCAUAACAUUUGGUGUUCUGAAGAAUCGGCAAAAAAAAACUUGCCGAGCAGUUUUAGUAUUUCUAACGUGCCUGAAUUUAAAUCUGAAAAAUGCAAAUCAGAGACAUGGCUGCUACUAUGAGGGAUAAGUGAGUCAUUGAUAUCUUCCUGAUGCAGCAUGGUAUUCUUUGCAAAAAUCUCUUCUUUGCAUGGAUCAUAUGUGUAUCUAAUUCGGCUCUUCACUUAGAAAUUUUAGACAUCUUUGUGUUCGUCCUAGCCUCUUAAUCUAUUAUGUUCAUUGUGCCAUGCACUUGGUGUUCCUAUGGACAGACUUGUGAAAGCCGCAGAUUCAGUUUCGGUGUGCCUAUCUAAAGGUUUAGGCGCCCCUGUUGGAUUCAAUGGCCUUUGUUGACAAGAAAUAUGAACAAUACCUAGAGGCCAAAAAUCUUCGAAAGACCCUAGGUGGUGGAAUGAGGCAGGUUGGAGUUCUGUGUGCUGAUUCUCAUACACUAUGGGAAAGCUUGCUGGUGAGGAUAGAAAGGCUAAAGUUGUGACAGUUGGUACAAUGGUUUCCCCAACCACUUAUGCUCGACGUUGCCUGUCAUAUUUGAUGAAUGGCAUAUGCCACAUGAGGCAUUGAAUGAUGCAAUGAAUGCUCUGGUAAUAUCUCCCACAUGGUCAACAACAUUAUAUCUUUAGGCACCACAUGUUCUGAAGUUGCAUUUCUUGUUUCGGGUUCAAAAAUUAGUAACCUGGUAAUUUCUUGUCCUAUUUUGAGCCCUGAAGAUUUCUUUGACGUUUUGAGUUCUAGAGUUUGGAGCUUCCAGGUGACGGAUUUCAUCUCACUCAAUAGUCUCCUCGCUCAAGGAGUUCAUCCAAGCUCGGUGGGUGCAAGCCUGCAAGGCACAAAGCUACGUUUACUUUUAUUUGGGUUGCAAGAGGAACUAGAACCGUGAAUGGGGCUGCCUCGGCGAGGGCACCAUUCAAGCUUCACACUUUGUUUUCUGUACGGAUGAGAACAACAUACGAGGCAAGGUGAACGUCUCUGUGGUGGAUGGUAGAGGCAUGGCUCUCCCUCACGCAGCGUCGUGCCUCCCAUCCUCAUCGCCAACGUAGCUCCCGUCUGGCUCACCAUAUCCCGCAGUUGUUCUCUGUGUGUGGCCAAAGGGAAGAAGAAAUCACAUUUUGACGAUUAACACAAGUAAUUCCCCUUCCUUGGUCUCCCUCAGAAGUCACAUUUUGAUGAUAGAACUUUGUAUGCUUAACAUUUUCCUUAUAAGUCAGAGUAUUGCGUAUCCAGUAAAACAGAUUUCAAAAGUUAUCUUCUCGUCAUGGAUUAUUGUUAUUCUUUGUUUUCAUGCAAAAUAUAAUUUUAGAAGCAUGCAUGUACGUGCAUGCUCUUUGUAAUUUCAAAUUUCUAGAGCAAUAUAUCUCGUGACCUGGUGU